rnacentral:rRNA from 1 species
AGGGAAUAGAUACCCGGGUAGUCCACGCCCUAAACGAUGUCAACUAGUUGUUGGGGGAGUAAAAUCCCUUAGUAACGCAGCUAAACGCGUGAAAGUUGACCGCCUGGGGAGUACGGUCGCAAGAUUAAAACUCAAAGGAAUUGACGGGGCCCGCACAAGCGGUGGAUUAUGUGGAUUAAUUCGAUGCAACGCGAAAAACCUUACCUGGCCUUGACAUGCCACUAACGAAGCAGAGAUGCAUUAGGUGCCCGAAAGGGAAAGUGGACACAGGUGCUGCAUGGCUGUCGUCAGCUCGUGUCGUGAGAUGUUGGGUUAAGUCCCGCAACGAGCGCAACCCUUGCCAAUAAUUGCCAUCAUUCAGUUGGGCACUUUAUUGGGACUGCCGGUGACAAACCGGAGGGAGGUGGGGAUGACGUCAAGUCCUCAUGGCCCUUAUGGCCAGGGCUUCACACGUAAUACAAUGGUCGGUACAGAGGGUUGCCAACCCGCGAGGGGGUAGCCAAUCCCAGAAAGCCGAUCGUAGUCC